GCGUGCUCGAAAAUGUUAAAGUUCUUAUUUCAUGGUAUAACUUUGGUAUGCUUGGACCUAGAGUCUUCAAACUUGACAUGAAGGUUGGCCAGGAUUAACAGAUGACCACUGGUCAUUUCAAGGUCAUUCAUUUGAAGGUCAAGGUCACUGUGACCUUCAAUAUAAAAAAUGUUAAAGUUGUUAUAACUUUGGUAUGCUUGGACCUAGAGUCUUGAAACUUGACAUGAAGGUUGGCCAUAACUAGUUAGUAACCACUGGUCAUUUCAAGGUCAUUCAUUUGAAGGUCAAGGUCACUGUGACCUUGAAUGUAAAAAUGUUAAAGUUCUUAUUUCAUGGUAUAACUUUGGUAUGCUUGGACCUAGAGUCUUCAAACUUGACAUGAAGGUUGGCCAGGAUUAACAGAUGACCACUGGUCAUUUCAAGGUCAUUCAUUUGAAGGUGAAGGUCACUGUGACCUUCAAUAUAAAAAUGUUAAAGUUGUUAUAACUUUGGUAUGCUUGGACCUAGAGUCUUGAAACUUGACAUGAAGGUUGGCCAGAACUAGUAAGUAACCACUGGACAUUUCAAGGUCAUUCAUUUGAAGGUCAAGGUCACUGUGACCUUGAAUGUAAAAAUGUUAAAGUUGUUAUAACUUUGGUAUGCUUGGACCUAGAGUCUUGAAACUUGACAUGAAGGUUGGCCAGAACUAGUAAGUAACCACUGGACAUUUCAAGGUCAUUCAUUUGAAGGUCAAGGUCACUGUGACCUUGAAUGUAAAAAUGUUAAAGUUCUUAUUUCAUGUUAUAACUUUGGUAUGCUUGUACCUAGAGUCUUCAAACUUGAAAUAAAGAUUGGCCAGUACUAGAAGAUGACCACUGGUCAUUUCAAUGUCAUUCAUUUGAAGGUCAAGGUCACUGUGACCUUAAAUGUUAAAAUUGUUAUAACUUUGGUAUGCUUGGACAUAGAGUCUUCAAACUUGACAUGAAGGUUUGCAAGCACACUUAGAUGACCACUGGUCAUUUCAAGGUCAUUCAUUUGAAGGUCGAGGUCACUGUGACCUUGGAUGUAAAUAUGUUAAAGUUGUUAAUACUUUGGUAUGCUUAGACCUAGAGUCUUCAAACUUGAUAUGAAGGUUGGCCAGAACUAGUAGAUGACCACUGGUCAUUUUAAGGUCAAGGUCACCGUGACCUUGAAUGUAAAAAUGUUAAAA